rnacentral:rRNA from 1 species
GAGUUUGAUCGUGGCUCAGAUUGAACGCUGGCGGCAUGCCUUACACAUGCAAGUCGAACGGUAACAGGUCUUUCGGGAUGCUGACGAGUGGCGAACGGGUGAGUAAUACAUCGGAACGUGCCUAGUAGUGGGGGAUAACUACUCGAAAGAGUGGCUAAUACCGCAUGAGAUCUAUGGAUGAAAGCAGGGGACCUUCGGGCCUUGUGCUACUAGAGCGGCCGAUGGCAGAUUAGGUAGUUGGUGGGAUAAAAGCUUACCAAGCCUACGAUCUGUAGCUGGUCUGAGAGGACGAUCAGCCACACUGGGACUGAGACACGGCCCAGACUCCUACGGGAGGCAGCAGUGGGGAAUUUUGGACAAUGGGCGCAAGCCUGAUCCAGCAAUGCCGCGUGCAGGAUGAAGG